rnacentral:rRNA from 1 species
AUAUCAAUAAGCGGAGGAAAAGAAAAUAACAAUGAUUCCCCUAGUCAACUGCGAGUGAAGAGGGAUAAGCUCAAAUUUUAAGUCUGUUAGGUUCUCCUAACCGAGUUGUAAUUUGAAGAAGCGUUUUCGCGUGUUUUGAUCAGCUCAAGUUCCUUGGAAUGGGGCAUCAUGGAGGGUGAGAAUCCCGUUCGGUUGAUCAAUUGCGUAUGUGAUACGUUUUUAAAGAGUCAAGUUGUUUGGGAUUGCAGCUUAAGAUGGGAGGUAAAUUUCUCCUAAGGCUAAAUAUUGGCGAGAGACCGAUAGCGCACAAGUA